GCAGGGCACUGGGGCCCUGUGAGCUCAGUGGGGAGAUGCCAGGUGCCUCUGCAUCCAGCUCCAGUACUGCGGCACCCAGAGAUGGAGCAUCUCCCCGGGAGGGAUGGGGGCCAGGAUGCGUCUCCCCCUCUGAGCUGCUGGGAGGCAGCAGGAAGGAUGAGUUGUCCCUGGGGUUUGCAGUUGCCUUUGACCGGGGGGACACUGUCCUCUGCACCUCACGCUCUGACAUUUUCUGCCUUUUACCCUGAAGGCAACGAUGGGAAAGGCCAGUGGCCCCGGGGAUGCUGCUGACCACACACACACUGAGGGUAAGCCCCCAUGGCUCGGGCAGCAGCUCAGCAUUCCUUUACUGGCUGGUCCUCCUCCUGCCCAGCACACUGGGGGCUGGUGGAGCAGUAAUGGGAGCUUUCUUUUCUUUUUUUUCCUGCUACCAUUGAAGACAUGGAAAAGAAGGUGGGAUUUGCGGUCCCCGAGGACCCAGGCUCUGUGUUUGAGAGCGUGGGGAGCAGUGUGCUCUCCUGGCUCUCUCAGGGUCUGGAGAAGGUGAUUCCCCAGCCAGUCCCGGCCCCAGGGAUGCUGCAGGCGCUCGGGAAGAGCUUUGAGACAAGCAUCGAUGUUCCCGAUCAGACGGAGGUCCAGGUCCUCAAGGAUGAGGAAGAGGAUGCUCUGGAGAUAACUCCCUUUGAUCCUGAGGAGGAUGAGCUGGAUGGCUGCGGGUCUGAGGCUGGCUUGGAUACGGUGACAGAGGAAUGGGCAGGAGCACGGGUGCUCGGCUGGCUGGUGCAGGGCUUCGAGAGGAUCGUGCCACAGCCAGAGAUGCUGAAAAAGCCGGAGCCGGAGCCGAAGGAGCAGAAAUGCGAAGCUGUGGCAGGAGGCACAAAAGGGACUAAAACCCAGGCAAAGUCAAAAAGCAGCAUUCCAGCCACUCAGAGUAUCCCAGGAACAGCAGAGCCAGCAGUCGCCGAGAGGCAGCCAGAGCAGGUGGCCACCUUCAUCCCCCGGUCCCUGGCCGGGGACGGCAGCAGGAUGUUUGCCUGGUUUGUUCAGGGACUGGAGAAGGUGAUGCCACAGCCAGUGACCAGGGAGAAGCAGGACACACAGGGAGUGGCAGCAGCAACCUGGAGUCCUGUGGAAGAAAUUCAUAUUGUUCCUGGGGAAACUGAGGACGCUGACCUCGUCCUGGAAGAAGUCAAUGAUGACUGGAUUAAUGAAGCCACAUGCGAGAUGAUGGCCUGGGGUCGUGAGGCUGAGCUGGUAGCAGAUGCUCAUCCCCUUCCCCCCAUACAGGAAGAACCUCAGGAAGAAGAAAACAGGUAGGAGAAGGAAGAUGCUGUUGAUGAACAGCUCUACAUGCCCUCUGACCACCAGCAUGGUGGCCAUGGGAGGGGAUGAGCACAUCCCUGGGCAUUUCUCUUUGCCAGUGCUGGUGGUGGAGCUGGCACUGGGCAGCCAAUGUGCUUGUUUCCAAAGAGAGGGGCACCAAAAGGACCCAAAAGGUGUUUGAGCAAAACCAACCUUUUCUUCUGGUGUUGAGUGGCA
rnacentral:lncRNA from 1 species